CGGAGUUGGCGGCUCGGCCGUGCUAAACUUUGUCCAUCUGUAGCACCGCGGGCGUGUGGAGAGACCCCAACAGUGGGGAAAAAUCGGAAACGCAGGCAGACCUGCAAUACAUCUUGAUCGAUUCCUGAGGUGAUGUCCAACAAGUCUCCUCUGCGGCCAUAUCGUUUUAUUGCCCCGCAGGCAGCCAUGCGUGCACAGCUCACCUCCUUCCUCGGUGGGAAAACCCAAGUUAAAAACACAAGGGGAAGGACAUAGCUCAUCACUCCAGCCUCGAAAAAUUUUGUUUGGAAUUGUGAGUACUGUUUUUCUUUAGCUUUUUUAUUUGUUAUUUUUUUACCCACAAAAGGAGGUUGGCCUAUUAGAUUUUUGGUCCGUUUGCAACAUUAUCAUAUUCACACAAGCAAAAAUAAUAUAUCCCACUCAAACUCCUGUUUCACUUUACGCAGAGGAGCAGGGUGCACUGAAGAGCCCCGAAGCAAUAAAGAUGAAACAGAAAACAACGUCUGCAUUUGUUGAUUGGUUUGCAUAAUUAAAAAGGUGAAGAUUUCUUGUACCCCCUUUAAUUCAGAAGGCAUUGGCAUGCAGGAAUGUUUGUCUGUCAGUGAAGAAUAAAUCUGCAGAACUAUA